AACGAACGCUGGCGGCACGCCUAACACAUGCAAGUCGAACGAGACCUUCGGGUCUAGUGGCGCACGGGUGCGUAACGCGUGGGAACCUGCCCUUAGGUUCGGAAUAACUCCCCGAAAGGGGUGCUAAUACCGGAUAAUGUCUUCGGACCAAAGAUUUAUCGCCUUUGGAUGGGCCCGCGUUGGGUUAGCUAGUUGGUAGGGUAAAAGCCUACCAAGGCGACGAUCCAUAGCUGGUCUGAGAGGAUGAUCAGCCACACUGGGACUGAGACACGGCCCAGACUCCUACGGGAAGCAGCAGUGGGGAAUAUUGGACAAUGGGCGAAAGCCUGAUCCAGCAAUGCCGCGUGAGUGAUGAAGGCCUUAGGGUUGUAAAGCUCUUUUACCCGGGAUGAUAAUGACAGUACCGGGAGAAUAAGCUCCGGCUAACUCCGUG
rnacentral:rRNA from 1 species